UCUGGAGCGCGACAACCUCGGGAAACUGAGGCUAAUCGUGCAUACCGCUCUCAUGCUGGAACUGCAGAGAGCUCGAAAUGCCCCGGCGCCAGAGGAUGUGGCUGCGGCCGAUUAGGUAGACGGUGGGGUAACGGCCCACCGUGCCAGUAAUCGGUACGGGUUGUGAGAGCAAGAGCCCGGAGACGGUAUCUGAGACAAGAUACCGGGCCCUACGGGGCGCAGCAGGCGCGAAACCUUUACACUGCACGCCAGUGCGAUAAGGGGACUCCAAGUGCGAGGGCAUAUCGUCCUCGCUUUUCGCUACCGUAAGGAGGUAGCAGAAUAAGAGCUGGGCAAGACCGGUGCCAGCCGCCGCGGUAAUACCGGCAGCUCAAGUGAUGACCGCUAUUAUUGGGCCUAAAGCGUCCGUAGCCGGCCACACAAGUCUAUCGGGAAAUCUCCCCGCUUAACGGGGAGGCGUCCGGUGGAAACUGUGUGGCUUGGGACCGGGAGACCAGAGGGGUACGUCCGGGGUAGGAGUGAAAUCCUGUAAUCCUGGACGGACCACCGGUGGCGAAAGCGCCUCUGGAGAACGGAUCCGACGGUGAGGGACGAAAGCUCGGGUCACGAACCGGAUUAGAUACCCGGGUAGUCCGAGCCGUAAACGAUGUCUGCUAGGUGUGCCACAGGCUACGAGCCUGUGGUGUGCCGUAGGGAAGCCGAGAAGCAGACCGCCUGGGAAGUACGUCCGCAAGGAUGAAACUUAAAGGAAUUGGCGGGGGAGCACAAUC
rnacentral:rRNA from 1 species